AUCUGACUGACGAGUCCUAAAUAUGACGAAAUGUGCUUCCUAGAU
rnacentral:hammerhead_ribozyme from 1 species